rnacentral:rRNA from 1 species
GACAGAGGGGGCAAGCGUUGCUCGGAAUUACUGGGCGUAAAGCGCGCGUAGGCGGCAGAGUGUGUCGGGCGUGAAAUCCCACGGCUCAACCGUGGAAGUGCACUCGAAACUGCGCAGCUGGAGUCUCGGAGAGGAAGGCGGAAUGCUUGGUGUAGAGGUGAAAUUCGUAGAUAUCAAGCGGAACACCGAUGGCGAAGGCGGCCUUCUGGACGAUGACUGACGCUGAAGCGCGAAAGCGUGGGGAGCAAACAGG